rnacentral:lncRNA from 1 species
ACUGGAAUUUGUAAUGGACUUUCGCUGCACAAUAGAUCUAAACUGUGCAAAUUUUAUGCAGUGUAAAUGAUAGUCCAUUCUCGAGUCAAGGUAAAUGAUAGUCCAUUCUCAAGUCAAGUAAAAGAUAGUCUAUUCUCAAGUCAAGUAAAUUUGCAAUCCAUUAUCAAAUCAAGUAAAUGGUAAUCCAUUCUCAAGUAAAUGGUGGU